UGUAUAUAUAUAUAUAUAUGUAUGUAUCCGAUACUCUUUAUUCAGGCAGACCUCUCAGUCAUUCUUCUUCUUUAAAAGAAAAUUGUUGGAACUUUGUUUUAUUUUCUAAGGAAAGACAUUCAUGCAUUUGGGAAUGAAAUUGGGAACCGGACCACCACUUUCUCCACGGAAGGUCUUCGACAAAAAGGUCAUCCCCUCCGCUCUCGCCUUCAAGCUCAAAUCCUCCAUGUCGCCAAUGAGAUUGAGACCUGCUGGAUUUGAAGAAUGUGUUUUUUCAAUUUGUCUAAUUUCUGAGAUCUGAUGGGAGAACUGGAUCUAUUUGGGUUUUAUUUUCAAUUGGGUUUUCUGGAUUUGAAGAAUGGGUGAAUAAAGAUCCGUGUUUUUUU